rnacentral:rRNA from 1 species
UCUCCUGGAAACGGGUGGUAAUGCCGGAUGUUCCACAUGAGCGCAUGCGAGUGUGGGAAAGGCUUUUUGCGGCAUGGGAUGGGGUCGCGUCCUAUCAGCUUGUUGGUGGGGUAACGGCCUACCAAGGCGUUGACGGGUAGCCGGCCUGAGAGGGCGACCGGCCACAUUGGGACUGAGAUACGGCCCAGACUCCUACGGGAGGCAGCAGUGGGGAAUAUUGCACAAUGGGCGCAAGCCUGAUGCAGCGACGCCGCGUGCGGGAUGGAGGCCUUCGGGUUGUAACCCGCUUUUGUUCAAGGGCAAGGCACGGUUUCGGCCGUGUUGAGUGGAUUGUUCGAAUAAGCACCGGCUAACUACGUGCCAGCAGCCGCGGUAAUACGUAAGGUGCAGCGUUAUCCGGAUUUUUGGGCUAAGGGCUCGUAAGCGGUCGUCCCGUCCCCGGUAAAUUCAUCGCUAACGGGAUCCGCGCCGGUAACGGCGGGCUUAAUGCGUAGGGAAAACGGAAUCCCGGGUAACGUGGAAUGGGAAAUUCGGAAAAAACC